GUCUUUUUGAUUAUAAUUUAAAGUCUGACCUGCCCAAUGAAUUUUUAAAUGGCCGCGGUAUUUUGACCGUGCAAAGGUAGCAUAAUCAUUAGUUUUUUAAUUGAAAGCUAGAAUGAAAGGUUGGACGAGAAAAUAACUGUCUCAAUUUAGUUAAAUUAGAAUUUUAUUUUUAAGUUAAAAAGCUUAAAUUUUUUUAAAAGACGAGAAGACCCUAUAGAGUUUAAUAUUUUUAUAAUUUUUAAUUUUUAUAAUCUAAUAUAUUUAUAAAAAUAUUUUAUUGGGGUGAUAAAUAAAUUUAAUUAACUUUAUUUUUUUUUUUACAUAAAUUUAUGAAUUGAUGAUCCAUUAUUAAUGAUUAUAAGAUUAAAUUACCUUAGGGAUAACAGCGUAAUUUUUUUAGAGAGUUCAAAUCGAAAAAUAAGAUUGCGACCUCGAUGUUGGAUUAAAGUAAAUUUUUGGUGUAGAAGCUAAUAUAUUAAGUCUGUUCGACUUUUAAUACUUUACAUGAUCUGAGUUCAGACCGGCGUGAGCCAGGUUGGUUUCUAUCUUUAAAAUAAUAAAAUAUUUUAGUACGAAAGGACCAAGUAUUUAUAAUAAUUAUUGUUAUAUGAAUAU
rnacentral:rRNA from 1 species